GAUGAACGCUGGCGGCGUGCCUAAUACAUGCAAGUCGAACGCAUAGCGAAAGGUGCUUGCACCUUUCAAGUGAGUGGCGAACGGGUGAGUAACACGUGGACAACCUGCCUCAAGGCUGGGGAUAACAUUUGGAAACAGAUGCUAAUACCGAAUAAAACUUAGUGUCGCAUGACACAAAGUUAAAAGGCGCUUCGGCGUCACCUAGAGAUGGAUCCGCGGUGCAUUAGUUAGUUGGUGGGGUAAAGGCCUACCAAGACAAUGAUGCAUAGCCGAGUUGAGAGACUGAUCGGCCACAUUGGGACUGAGGCACGGCCCAAACUCCUACGGGAGGCUGCAGUAGGGAAUCUUCCACAAUGGGCGAAAGCCUGAUGGAGCAACGCCGCGUGUGUGAUGAAGGCUUUCGGGUCGUAAAGCACUGUUGUAUGGGAAGAACAGCUAGAAUAGGAAAUGAUUUUAGUUUGACGGUACCAUACCAGAAAGGGACGGCUAAAUACGUG
rnacentral:rRNA from 1 species